UCUCCAUGCCCAUUCAGGAAGCUCUAUCAGCUUUGCUUCAAGGCACUGAGGGGCACUAAUGAAAGGCACAGAGGAUGAGCAGGACAACACAGGCCUUUACAGAGGUAGUGCUAGCUUUUAAGGAAGAGCAAGGAGCCAAUUCGCCUUGAAGUCACAACCUCCUGCUGCUUCUCAGGAGCAAAGACAAGAUCCUAUGGUCUGUACAAAAUAACCCGAGUGUUUCUCUGUAUGUGAUGGCGAUGCCCUAAGGUUGUGUCUAGACAUACGUGUGCUCCUGGACCUGAGCCUCUGACCAUCAAACAGCCUAAAACCUGUUAGGUCCUUGUGCCCUGACCCCAAUUACAAAGGUCUGGGACCCACUCUGGUGUGCCAUGGUGUCCACCUUGCCUGCGUGCCUGGGCUUCUUCCCUGUGUGGUAGGGGACAGCGGCAGUGGCAGGGAAUGGUGGGAGGCAGGAUGAACACCCAGGGCUCGCUGACAUGGACCUGGCACAGUGGGAGUUUGCAUCCAGACCCAGGAAUUUAGAACAAAUCCUGGCUCUGAUCAUAUCGUUGUCACUGAAGCACCCUAGCGAUGCAGGUGCUAAUAUAGCUUGCAGGUAACGGAGGAAUCCAUUCUGACACUUUGAUUAAAGGUGAUGGCAACAUAUAUUACCUGCCAGCAGCAAAUUUCAGCAGUGAAAACUGACUUGUCCUGAAGCAGAGAGUUUCCCGCUGAAUAUGAUGAAGAGAGACUGUAACAAACAACGAAAAGCCGGCUUAUUAAACGCACUGCUAUUGAAGGAACAGAAGCUGA